AUUGAACGCUGGCGGAAUGCUUUACACAUGCAAGUCGAACGGCAGCACGGGGGCAGCCCUGGUGGCGAGUGGCGAACGGGUGAGUAAUACAUCGGAACGUGCCCGGUCGUGGGGGAUAACGUAGCGAAAGUUACGCUAAUACCGCAUACGAUCUGAGGAUGAAAGCGGGGGACCUUCGGGCCUCGCGCGAUCGGAGCGGCCGAUGUCAGAUUAGGUAGUUGGUGGGGUAAAGGCCUACCAAGCCGACGAUCCGUAGCUGGUCUGAGAGGACGACCAGCCACACUGGGACUGAGACACGGCCCAGACUCCUACGGGAGGCAGCAGUGGGGAAUUUUGGACAAUGGGCGCAAGCCUGAUCCAGCCAUUCCGCGUGCAGGACGAAGGCCUUCGGGUUGUAAACUGCUUUUGUACGGAACGAAAAGGCUCUGGCUAAUACCUGGGGCUCAUGACGGUACCGUAAGAAUAAGCACCGGCUAACUACGUG
rnacentral:rRNA from 1 species